ACGGGAGGCAGCAGUGGGGAAUAUUGCACAAUGGGGGAAACCCUGAUGCAGCGACGCCGCGUGAGUGAAGAAGUUAUUCGUAAUGUAAAGCUCUAUCAGCAGGGAAGAAAAUGACGGUACCUGACUAAGAAGCCCCGGCUAACUACGUGCCAGCAGCCGCGGUAAUACGUAGGGGGCAAGCGUUAUCCGGAUUUACUGGGUGUAAAGGGAGCGUAGACGGUCUGGCAAGUCUGAUGUGAAAGGCAGGGGCUCAACUCCUGGACUGCAUUGGAAACUGCCAGUCUUGAGUGCCGGAGAGGUAAGCGGAAUUCCUAGUGUAGCGGUGAAAUGCGUAGAUAUUAGGAGGAACACCAGUGGCGAAGGCGGCUUACUAGACGGUAACUGACGUUGAGGCUCGAAAGCGUGGGGAGCAAACAGGAUUAGAUACCCUGGUA
rnacentral:rRNA from 1 species